rnacentral:rRNA from 1 species
GACAGAGGUGGCAAGCGUUGUUCGGAUUUACUGGGCGUAAAGAGCGUGUAGGCGGUCAGGUAAGUCAGUUGUGAAAUCCCAUGGCUUAACCAUGGAAAUGCUUCUGAAACUGCCUGACUGGAGUGCAGGAGAGGAGAGUGGAAUUUCCAGUGUAGCGGUGAAAUGCGUAGAUAUUGGAAGGAACACCUGUGGCGAAGGCGGCUCUCUGGACUGCAACUGACGCUGAGACGCGAAAGCGUGGGGAGCAAACAGG